rnacentral:rRNA from 1 species
GACGAACGCUGGCGGCGUGCCUAACACAUGCAAGUCGAACGGAAAGGCACUGCUUUUGUGGGGUGCCCGAGUGGCGAACGGGUGCGUAACACGUGAGUAACCUGCCCUUGACUUUGGGAUAACUUCAGGAAACUGGGGCUAAUACCGGAUAGGAGCUCCUGCUGCAUGGUGGGGGUUGGAAAGUUUCGGCGGUUUGGGAUGGACUCGCGGCUUAUCAGCUUGUUGGUGGGGUAGUGGCUUACCAAGGCUUUGACGGGUAGCCGGCCUGGGAGGGUGACCGGCCACAUUGGGACUGAGGGACGGACCAGACUCCUACGGGAGGCAGCAGUGGGGAAUAUUGCACAAUGGGCGGAAGCCUGAUGCAGCAGCGCCGCGUGCGGGAUGACGUCCUUCGGGUUGUAAACCGCUUUCGCCUGUGACGAAGCGUGAGUGACGGUAAUGGGUAAAGAAGCACCGGCUAACUACGUG